GACGAACGCUGGCGGCGUGCCUAAUACAUGCAAGUAGAACGCUGAAGGAGGAGCUUGCUUCUCCGGAUGAGUUGCGAACGGGUGAGUAACGCGUAGGUAACCUGCCUGGUAGCGGGGGAUAACUAUUGGAAACGAUAGCUAAUACCGCAUAACAGUAGAUAUUGCAUGAUAUCUGCUUGAAAGGUGCAAAUGCAUCACUACCAGAUGGACCUGCGUUGUAUUAGCUAGUUGGUGGGGUAACGGCUCACCAAGGCGACGAUACAUAGCCGACCUGAGAGGGUGAUCGGCCACACUGGGACUGAGACACGGCCCAGACUCCUACGGGAGGCAGCAGUAGGGAAUCUUCGGCAAUGGACGGAAGUCUGACCGAGCAACGCCGCGUGAGUGAAGAAGGUUUUCGGAUCGUAAAGCUCUGUUGUAAGAGAAGAACGAGUGUGAGAGUGGAAAGUUCACACUGUGACGGUAUCUUACCAGAAAGGGACGGCUAACUACGUGC
rnacentral:rRNA from 1 species